GCCACGGUGGUCUAGCGGCUAGAACGCUGGCCUUGUAAUCCUGGGGUCUCGGGUUCGAUUCCCGGCGGUGCCC
rfam:Zootermopsis nevadensis contig32374, whole genome shotgun sequence.